rnacentral:misc_RNA from 1 species
GAUGAAGAACGCAGUGAAAUGCGAUAAGUAAUGUGAAUUGCAGAAUUCAGUGAACCAUCGAAUCUUUGAACGCACAUUGCGCCCGGCAGUAAUCUGCCGGGCAUGCCUGUCCGAGCGUCAUUUCUGCCCUCGAGCGAGUCCAGCAUCUAGGUGCUGGGCCCGCCCGGCGUUGGGGCACUACGGGAAGCCCUGUGCUGUCCCCCGUAGGCCCCGAAAUGAAGUGGCGGUCCUGCCGCGGCGCCCCCUGCGUAGUAUAACAGCUCGCUUCGGGACCCGGUGGAGGCCUGCCGUCAAACCUUACUCUCUAAGUUUGACCUCGGAUCAGGUAGGGUUACCAGCUGAACUUAAGCAUAUCAAUAAGCGGAGGA